CAGUAGCCACGGUAAUACGGAGGGUGCAAGCGUUAUCCGGAUUUAUUGGGUUUAAAGGGUCCGUAGGCGGACUUAUAAGUCAGUGGUGAAAGCCUGUCGCUUAACGAUAGAACUGCCAUUGAUACUGUAAGUCUUGAGUAUAUUUGAGGUAGCUGGAAUAAGUAGUGUAGCGGUGAAAUGCAUAGAUAUUACUUAGAACACCAAUUGCGAAGGCAGGUUACCAAGAUAUAACUGACGCUGAGGGACGAAAGCGUGGGUAGCGAACAGGAUUAGAUACCCGCGUAGUCCCUGUCUCUUAUAC
rnacentral:rRNA from 1 species